rnacentral:rRNA from 1 species
CCUACGGGAGGCAGCAGUGAGGAAUAUUGGUCAAUGGGCGCGAGCCUGAACCAGCCAAGUAGCGUGAAGGAUGACUGCGCUACGGGUUGUAAACUUCUUUUGUAAAGGGAUAAAAUGAGGCACGUGUGCCUUUUUGUGUGUACUUUAUGAAUAAGCAUCGGCUAACUCCGUGCCAGCAGCCGCGGUAAUACGGAGGAUCCGAGCGUUAUCCGGAUUUAUUGGGUUUAAAGGGAGCGUAGAUGGGUUGUUAAGUCAGUUGUGAAAGUUUGCGGCUCAACCGUAAGAUUGCAAUUGAUACUGGCAGCCUUGAGUACAGGUGAGGUAGGCGGAAUGCGUGGUGUAGCGGUGAAAUGCUUAGAUAUCACGAAGAACUCCGAUUGCGAAGGCAGCCUACUAAAC